GACGUAGGGUGCAAGCGUUGUCCGGAUUUACUGGGCGUAAAGAGCGCGUAGGCGGUCUUGUAAGUGUGAAGUGAAAUCUCCAGGGCUCAACCCGGAAACUGCUUUGCAUACUGCAGGACUAGAGGGAUGCAGAGGUUUGUGGAAUUCCUGGUGUAGCGGUGAAAUGCGUUGAUAUCAGGAGGAACACCCAUGGCGAAGGCAGCAAACUGGGCAUCAUCUGACGCUGAGGCACGAAAGCGUGGGUAGCGAACAGG
rnacentral:rRNA from 1 species